UGCGGGAUGGAGCAGUGGUGGCUCGCAAGGUUCAUGUCCUUGAGAUCGAUGGUUCGAUUCCAUCUCCCGCUA
rnacentral:tRNA from 2 species